rnacentral:rRNA from 1 species
UCCUAGCCGUAAAUGAUGCUGAUUUGGUGUGACUGUCCUUACGAGGGAUUGUUGUGCCGGAGGGAAGCCGUUAAAUCAGCCGCCUGGGGAGUACGGUCGCAAGACUGAAACUUAAAGGAAUUGGCGGGGGGGUACUACAAGGGGUGGAGGCUGCGGUUUAAUUGGAUAAUACGCCAGACAACUCACCAGAGAUGACAGCAGAAUGAUGGUCAGUCCGAAGGGCUUACCUGACGCGCUGAGAGGUGGUGCAUGGCUGACGUCAGCUCGUGCCGUGAGG